rnacentral:rRNA from 1 species
UACGUAGGGUGCGAGCGUUGUUCGGAAUUACUGGGCGUAAAGAGUGUGUAGGCGGUGCUCUAAGACAGAUGUGAAAUCCCCGGGCUCAACCUGGGAACUGCAUUUGUGACUGCACAGCUGGAGUGCGGCAGAGGGGGAUGGAAUUCCGCGUGUAGCAGUGAAAUGCGUAGAUAUGCGGAGGAACACCGAUGGCGAAGGCAAUCCCCUGGGCCUGCACUGACGCUCAUGCACGAAAGCGUGGGGAGCAAACAGG